GACGAACGCUGGCGGCGUGCUUAACACAUGCAAGUCGAACGGUAAGGCCCUUCGGGGUACACGAGUGGCGAACGGGUGAGUAACACGUGGGUGAUCUACCCUGCACUUCGGGAUAAGCCUGGGAAACUGGGUCUAAUACCGGAUAGGACCACUGCCUGCAUGGGUGGUGGGGGAAAGCUUUUGCGGUGUGGGAUGGGCCCGCGGCCUAUCAGCUUGUUGGUGGGGGGAUGGCCUACCAAGGCGACGACGGGUAGCCGGCCGGAGAGGGUGACCGGCCACACUGGGACUGAGAUACGGCCCAGACUCCUACGGGAGGCAGCAGUGGGGAAUAUUGCACAAUGGGCGCAAGCCUGAUGCAGCGACGCCGCGUGAGGGAUGACGGCCUUCGGGUUGUAAACCUCUUUCAGCACCGACGAAGCGCAAGUGACGGUAGGUGCAGAAGAAGGACCGGCCAACUACGUGCCAGCCGCCGCGGUAAUAC
rnacentral:rRNA from 1 species